UACGUAGGAGACAAGCGUUGUCCGGAAUUACUGGGUGUAAAGCGCGUGUAGGUGGUAGGCCAAGUCUGCUGUGAAAUCGCCCGGCUCAACUGGGCGCGGUCGGUGGAAACUGGUCAACUGGAGGACGGUAGAGGCGAGUGGAAUUCCCGGUGUAGUGGUGAAAUGCGUAGAGAUCGGGAGGAACACCGGUGGCGAAGGCGGGUCUCUGGGCCGGAUACUGACGCUGGAGGAGCGAAAGCGUGGGGAGCGAACAGG
rnacentral:rRNA from 1 species